GAUGAACGCUGGCGGCGUGCUUAACACAUGCAAGUCGAGCGAGAAGUUUUGAAAAGAUUCUUCGGACGAAAUUUAAAAUGGAAAGCGGCGGACGGGUGAGUAACGCGUAGGCAACCUGCCCCAUACAAAGGGAUAGCAUUUGGAAACGAAUAUUAAUACCUUAUGAAACUUAACUAGUGCAUGCUAGGUAGGUCAAAGAUUUAUCGGUAUGGGAUGGGCCUGCGUCUGAUUAGCUAGUUGGUGAGGUAACGGCUCACCAAGGCGACGAUCAGUAGCCGACCUGAGAGGGUGAACGGCCACAUUGGAACUGAGACACGGUCCAAACUCCUACGGGAGGCAGCAGUGGGGAAUAUUGCACAAUGGGGGAAACCCUGAUGCAGCAACGCCGCGUGAACGAUGAAGGCCUUUGGGUCGUAAAGUUCUGUUCUAGGUGAUGAAAACUGACAGUAACCUAGGAGAAAGCCCCGGCUAACUCCGUG
rnacentral:rRNA from 1 species